CUAUUUAGGUCACAAUAUCCUAUGGGUCCUCAUAAUUAACACCAUCUACCUCCAAUAAUAUAAUAGAAUUGUUACGUCUGUUGGAAUUAGCGAACCUACGGAAAAACCGUUUACACUUAUCCCCCUCCUUCAACCACUUCCUAGAUUUCUGAUGCCAAGCUAUUUUCUCCAUCUCCCCCCUUAAUUCUCCACGUCUCUCCCUCUCAUCCCCUACGAGUCAUUAACUCUUCUCCCUCCUAUCCAACUCUUCUAUUUCUGAAAUACAUUGCUUUUUAUGUCAAUUAACAUCUCCCACUACCUCUUCAUUCCACCUCUUUAUAUAGCUCUUCAAGGAUUUCAAUUUCUGAUCCAACACAUAACUGGAAGACCCCCUGAAAUCGUAAGCUGCCCAACAAUCCCAUACUUGUUCCCUAAAGCCUUCUACUUUUAGCCACAUCUUCUCGGACCUAAAAGGCCUCCUUUCACUACACCUCACAUUCCUUGAUAGCAAGAUAGAAAAAUGAUCAGUCCCAAUCUUCUUUGAGUGACCUAUGGGCACUUCUUGUCCCACUCCCCACUAAUCAGAAAUCUAUUUAAUCAUGAUAGAAUAGGUUGAUCCCGAUUAGAGGACCAAGUAAAGUUUCCUCCAAUCAAAGGCAGAUCCACCAACAUGUUCUCCCUG
rnacentral:lncRNA from 1 species